AUUGAAAGCUGGCGGCAGGCCUAACACAUGCAAGUCGAGCGAGCGGCGGACGGGUGAGUAAUGUCUGGGAAACUGCCCGAUGGAGGGGGAUAACUACUGGACACGGUAGCUAAUACCGCAUACCAUCAGAUGUGCCCAGAUGGGAUUAGCUAGUAGGUGGGGUAACGGCCCACCUUGGCGACGAUCCCUAGCUGGUCUGAGAGGAUGACCAGCCAAACUGGAAGUGAGACAAGGUCAAAACGCCUACGGGAGGAAGCAGUGGGGAAUAUUGCACAAUGGGCGAAAGCCUGAUGCAGCCAGGCCGCGUGUGUGAAGAGGGGCUUCGGGUUGUGAAGAACUUUCAGCGGGGAGGCUUUAACCGCAGAAGAGGCACCGGCUAACUCCGUGCCAGCAGCCGCGGUAAUUC
rnacentral:rRNA from 1 species